UACGUAGGGUGCGAGCGUUAAUCGGAAUUACUGGGCGUAAAGUGUGCGCAGGCGGCCGAGCAAGUCGAGUGUGAAAGCCCCGAGCUUAACUUGGGAACUGCGCUCGAAACUACUUGGCUAGAGUGUGGCAGAGGGAGGUGGAAUUUCACGUGUAGCGGUGAAAUGCGUAGAGAUGUGGAGGAACACCAGUGGCGAAGGCGGCUAUCUGGACGGUUUCUGACACUAAGACUCGAAAGCGUGGGGAGCAAACAGG
rnacentral:rRNA from 1 species